AUAUUUGUCGAGAACACCCAAUAAAUUGAAACGAUACAAAGAAGACUAACAUGACUCGUGUACAAGGAUGAUAUGCAUACACAAAGAGAGAAAUGAUAAUUGG